CUUUUCUUUCAUGACAGGUAAUGGGAAUGUACUUGUAGAAUGGCAGAAGCUGGUAGCUUAUAGAAAGCCAAGAUGAGAAGAAUUUUUUUGUGUAAUCUAAAUUUACUUUUAAGAAAAAGUGAAUUGUCUCCAGAGAGAAACAAAAGAAGUCCUGGGCAGCUUAAAGUUCAUCUUGGCUUGAUUAAAACCUUGGAAGUAAAAUAGAGGAAAGAACAGAAAUUGGAUCAGGUAUUUCAUUGUUUCUUCAAGAAGCAGUUUCUUAGCUAGGUACUAUAAUGCACAAAGACACCUGUAACGUUAGGUUUUUGGGAAGCUGAGGCUGGAGGACCAAAAUUUUGAGGCCAGCCUGGACAGUUUAGCAAGAAAAAAUAAAAGAGAGCUGGUGAUGUAGCUCAGUGGUGGCUUGCUUGACUAGUUUGCCUGAGAUGUGGGUUCAAUCCCAGCACCACAAAAACUAACUAAAAAAAGUAGAAGCCACUUCUCCUUUAGUCUGACUUGCCCUUUCAAAGAGAAUAAUGGAAGCCUAAAAUUGCUAAGAAAUAGCUAAGAUUGUGAUGGUUAUUUUUAUUUUAAAUCUCACACACCUACUUCUCAAGACACUUUCUUUAUUAAACCUUAAAAAAUGCUUUGAAUAUUUCAAAACAUUCAUUUGUGUCUAUUCCCUGAAUCAGACUUAUAUAACCUUAAAAUAUUCACUUGCCUUAUUUCCUCUUAAAACAAAAGAUAUUUAUAGUUCCCACUGAGUCAGGCAUUUAUUGGAUUAUUGCAAGAUUAAUUCUUGUACAUUUCAUGCAGAAGUUUAUGAUUAAAAUCUGAGAGGAUAGCCUGGAUUAUGAAGUAUUGCCCCGUGACUUAAGUUGAUUGAGAGUGUCUUUAGUAACUCUGAGAGCAAAGCAGUAGUAAAUAAUGGAGAAAUUUUACCACAGAUAAAAUAUUCUCCUUUGUAUAUCAUCUAUCUCCCUAGAAAGGACUGUAUUUUGUUUCUAAACAUCCCAAGUAUAAGUGAAAUUCUGAUUAGAGAGCUGCUAAUUGUAUGGUCUUCAGAUGUGUACAUUUUGCAGCUUUGCAUUAUAUUGAGAUCAACAAUAGCACUUUGUUAAAUGCUUGGGAGUUGUGGGUUUUGAGGUUAGAUUAUAGCAUAAAUAAAACAGGCUGAUUAUAAUUUAGGAAUCAGUAGUCAGGUCUGAAAAAAGAAAAUAUAACUUCAAUCUGAAUAUAGUAGAUGUUGUGAAAGAUGUAUAAAGUGCACAAGAAAGAGAGAGGGACAGAUUACCUGGAGGGCAAGAGAAGUGAGCUGGACCAGGAAAGAUUUCAGGAGCAGAGGAUGUUUGAAUUGAAUAUUAGAGACUGAUAUCUUUUAUUAAAUUAUUAAAGUUUACAUUGCUAAUUGGAAACAGCUGGAAAAAUGUGGUCAGUAAAUACUGUGCUCGGUCUUGGGCAACAGUUUUCCAAAAGCAAAACAUCACUUUCUCUGCACAGAGGUGAACGCUGCCAUCUGGAUGGGCUGGAUCGGGUGAACGGGCUGGAACACUGGCUUCUUUCUUUAAACACAUCAAUAUUAUCAUUCCUGAGAGCUAACCAUUACAUUGUGGUUUUGUAUCUUGUCAUCUUCUUUGUAUGCCUAGAUUAGAAACAUAGUGCCCCAACAACCAAGUUGGAACUAUUGUUUAUUCUAUAGCUGUCAGUACAUUGAAAUAAUACCACAUCAAUAAAUACGCAUUCACCUUAUUUUUAUUGUUGUUAUAUAGCCUUCUGUGCAGAUGUGGUUUAUAGUGUUCCCUAUUACUGGACAUCUUGGUUAUUUUUCAGCUUUUCAUUCUCAUAAAGUACACCAUGAUGAAUACCUUUAUGUAUUAUCCUUCAGGGUGCACUUAUUCUGUUGUCUGGGCAGGAUCUUUAAAGAGUUAGGGAUAGAAUUAUAGUUUAGUACAAAUAGAGAAGGAGAAGUAGAAUAGUACCAUUUAGGACAGGAGAUGGAAGAUAAGAGGGCAGUUGAUGCAGAGCCCCUUUAUUUGUUCUCAACUGGGAGCCAUUUUGGAACCUAUACUACACUUUAAAUACACAGCUGUUAAUAUCUUCAUUUGUUCCUGAUUUCCCGUAUUUUGGGAAGAAAUAAAGAUAAUAUGAGAAAGACGGGCUGGGGAUUUAGCUCAGUGGUUUCGCCGCCUGCUAUGCAAGAGCAAAGACCCGUGUGCAAUCUCCAGAACAAAAAAAAAAAAAAAAAAAUGAGAAAGAUGUGGGUGGGGGCAAGAGUCAUCAUUUAAUAAUAAUACUUCCUUCUAUAAUGUCUCAGCAACCCUAGGAAGCCUAUUAUGUCCAUUUUUUUUUUUUAGGUGAAACAGAGGCCUUGAGGAUUGACUUGCCAGAGACAGUGAGAAAUAGUGCUUUGGAGGUCUAGUCCAGGCACUCCUGGGGCCUUGGGCAAGUCCUGGGACUUCACUUAGCUGUUAGGAUAUAAUGAGAUGGUAUCUAAAAGAUUAAGAGAACAGCGUAAAGUCCGUAAAAUGGAGGUACUGCUUUUUAGAACAGGACACCAUAUUACAGGAGAGAAGAAGCUCUCUUCAAACCAUGUUCCGUUCCCUUUGUGGUAGCUUAUAUUAUAUUAUUAUCAAAAUAUUUGCUGUUCUUCCUACCCUCCCUCCAUCCAGUGAGAGAAUUAUCUUCUCCCACCCUGCUGAAGGCUGACUUCUUAUUAUGUCUAGCUUGGGCAUAGACUUAAUUUGCCAGUGAAAUGUGAGUGAUUAUAAUUUGUGCCAUUUCUGAGCAGAAACUCUGGUAGGAUGGCCCGGUCCUGCCUUUUCCAUGUCCCGAUUGAGGUGCUUCUCUUGCCUUGGUCCCAGAGUGAAGAGGCCAUGGAGACUGCAAGGAAUUAAACAGGAACUAGGCAGCAUACCGUAAGUCCCCGACUUAGGAACGUUUGAGUUGCAAACUUGCACAAAUACCAACGAACCUUGCAUUAUGAACAUUUGUAGAUGAGAACAAAUCACAAACUAGCUCACCUGUCUGCUGGACAUUAUCAUAGUUGUGCUUCUGUGU
ensembl:lncRNA